rnacentral:misc_RNA from 1 species
ACAUUGAAGAGGUUUGAA